CGAAAGCACAGUAACUAUGAAUGGAUUUCAAUGGCGGUGAAAUGUCAGACAAAAACAACGCUUCAUUAAUUUAAACCCGAAUAUUUGGAGUUAGGCGACAGUUGUGCCACCAAAUUGGCCUCUGCACACAGGAAAUAUAUUGAGUCAUUCCAUGCCAGUAAGUUCCAGAUAUAAAACAAAUACUAUAAAAGAUCGGCAACGUUGUUAGCGGUACCUUUAAUCUGGGGCAGUCAUGCCCAGACCCAGCUAAUCCAACGAGAAUAAAAAGAUCCCCCUCCACAAGUCCACCCACUCUAGAAGAUGCAUGUAUUGUGAAGAAACAGACCACACAAUUUUAAGAAUAUUACAGAAUAUAAUAUAUACUGACCAAAAUUAAAUAUACACAAUAUAAAACAGGAAUAUGUUUUAAUAGCAUCAAUGUUAACACUGCGUGAAGUUUUAGAUUUUAUACUCGACAUCUACUUACCGGUCUUAGAGAUAAGCAAUUUUGAGGCAAAAGUUUAUAGCUAUAGCAUAAACAAUUCUCUGUGAUCUCAACCUUGCCACCCUUUUUUCUGUGGUCUCUGUGACAUCUCUUGGAUGCCUUGAGACAACACGUCUGUGCACAGUUUUCCUACGCUUUGAUGGUGAGGAAGGGUCUGUAAGAUGGGUCAGUCGUAGCCUUUUCUAGUGUUGGCAAAUCCGGCAAACUUUUAAUAUUAUCAGAACUUGAUAGUGGUGUAGGAAUAGUGGUGCGUGGAUCACUGGAUGUGUCAGCUACUCAGCAUAAAAAGCAUAAAAUAUCGAUAGAUUUUCCCACUCUU